GAUGAACGCUGGCGGCGUGCUUAACACAUGCAAGUCGAACGGAAAGGCUCCUGCUUGCCUGGGUACUCGAGUGGCGAACGGGUGAGUAACACGUGGGUGAUCUGCCCUGUACUUCGGGAUAAGCCUGGGAAACUGGGUCUAAUACCGGAUAGGACGAUGGUUUGGAUGCCAUUUUGGUAAGUUUUUCGGUGUGGGAUGAGCUCGCGGCCUAUCAGCUUGUUGGUGGGGUAAUGGACUACCAAGGCGUCGACGGGUAGCCGGCCUGGGAGGGUGUACGGCCACAUUGUGACUGAGAUACGGCCCAGACCCCUACGGGAGGCAGCAGUGGUGAAUAUUGCACAAUGGGCGCAAGCCUGAUGCAGCGACGACGCGUGGGAGAUGACGGCCUUCGGGUUGUAAACUCCUUGCGCUAGGAACGAAGCGCAAGUGACGGUACCUGGAGAAGAAGCAACGGCUAACUACGU
rnacentral:rRNA from 1 species